CCUACGGGAGGCAGCAGUGGGGAAUAUUGGGCAAUGGUGGCAACUCUGACCCAGCAACGCCGCGUGAAUGAUGAAGGUCUUCGGAUUGUAAAGUUCUGUGAUGGGGGAUGAACAAAAUGACGGUACCCCAAUAGCAAGCCACGGCUAACUACGUGCCAGCAGCCGCGGUAAUCCGGAGGUGGCAAGCGUUCUCCGGUAUGACUGGGGGUAAAGGGUGCGUAGGUGGUUUAGUAAGUUGGCGGUGAAAUUCCGGGGCUCAACCUCGGCGCUGCCGCCGAAACUAAUAGACUAGAGUGCGUGGGGGGUAAGUGGAAUUCCUGGUGUAGCGGUGAAAGGCGUAGAUAGUAGGAAGAACAUCAGGGGCGAAGGCGACUUACUGGACUGUAACUGACGCUGAGGCACGAAAGCGUGGGGAGCAAACAGGAUGAGAUACCCUAGUAGUC
rnacentral:rRNA from 1 species